rnacentral:rRNA from 1 species
AAUAGAUACCCCGGUAGUCCACGCCGUAAACGAUGGAUGCUAGCUAUUGGGGGGAAUCGACCCCCUCCGAAGCGAAGCUAACGCGUUAAGCAUCCCGCCUGAGUAGUACGAGCGCAAGCUUAAAACUCAAAGGAAUUGACGGGGACCCGCACAAGCGGUGGAGCGUGUGGUUUAAUUCGAUGGUAAACGAAGAACCUUACCAAGGUUUGACAUCCCGGUAGCCGUUCUCCGAAAGGAGAAUUUCAUUUAGUUGGACCGGUGACAGGUGAUGCAUGGCCGUCGUCAGCUCGUGUCGUGAGAUGUUGGGUUAAGUCCCGCAACGAGCGCAACCCUUAUGAUUUAGUUGGAUUUUUCUAAACAGACUGCCCUGGUAACAGGGAGGAAGGAGGGGUAUGAUGUCAGGUCAGUAUUUCCCUUACACCUUGGGCGACACACGCGCUACAAUGGCGGGUACAAUGGGCAGCUAAGCCGCGAGGUGGAGCAAAUCCCAUCAAAGCCGGUCCCAGUUCGGAUUGCAGGCUGAAACCCGCCUGCAUGAAGCCGGAAUCGCUAGUAACC